GAUGAACGCUAGCGGCAGGCCUAAUACAUGCAAGCCGGACGGCAAGUUGAGUAGCAAUACUUGACCUAGAGUGGCGUAAGGGUGCGUAACACGUAUGCAAUCUGCCCACAGCCGGGAGAUAGCCCUCCGAAAGGAGGAUUAAUAUCCCAUAGGAAGAUGAGAUGGCAUCAUUUUAUUUUUAAACUACGGGGCUGUGGAUGAGCAUGCGGUUGAUUAGCUAGUUGGCGGGUAAAGGCCCACCAAGGCGAUGAUCAAUAGGGGACCUGAGAGGGUGAUCCCCCACACUGGCACUGAGAUACGGGCCAGACUCCUACGGGAGGCAGCAGUGGGAAUAUUGGACAAUGGGUGUAAGCCUGAUCCAGCCAUGGCCGCGUGCAGGAAGAAGGCCUUCU
rnacentral:rRNA from 1 species